rnacentral:rRNA from 1 species
CAGCAGCCGCGGUAAUACGUAGGUCCCGAGCGUUGUCCGGAUUUAUUGGGCGUAAAGGGAGCGCAGGCGGUUUAGUAAGUCUGAAGUUAAAGGCAUUGGCUCAACCAAUGUAUGCUUUGGAAACUGUUAGACUUGAGUGCAGAAGGGGAGAGUGGAAUUCCAUGUGUAGCGGUGAAAUGCGUAGAUAUAUGGAGGAACACCGGUGGCGAAAGCGGCUCUCCGGUCUGUCACUGACGCUGAGGCUCGAAAGCGUGGGUAGCGAACAGGAUUAGAUACCCGUGUAGUCCCCUGUCUCUUAUAC